GGACGGGUGAGUAAUGCUUGGGAAUCUGCCCAAUAGUGGGGGAUAACGUGUGGAAACGCACGCUAAUACCGCAUACGUCCUACGGGAGAAAGCAGGGGAUCUUCGGACCUUGCGCUAUUGGAUGAGCCCAAGUCAGAUUAGCUAGUUGGUGAGGUAAUGGCUCACCAAGGCGACGAUCUGUAGCUGGUCUGAGAGGAUGACCAGCCAGACUGGAACUGAGAACGGUCCAGACUCC
rnacentral:rRNA from 1 species